UACGUAGGGGGCAAGCGUUGUCCGGAUUCAUUGGGCGUAAAGAGCGUGUAGGCGGCCAGGUAGGUCGGUUGUGAAAACUGGAGGCUCAACCUUCAGACGUCGACCGAAACCAUCUGGCUAGAGUCCGGGAGAGGAGAGUGGAAUUCCUGGUGUAGCGGUGAAAUGCGCAGAUAUCAGGAAGAACACCCGUGGCGAAGGCGGCGCUCUGGGCCGGAACUGACGCUGAGGAGCGAAAGCGUGGGGAGCGAACAGG
rnacentral:rRNA from 1 species